rnacentral:lncRNA from 1 species
CAAUGAUGAAUCAAAACUCAGUUUUGAUAAUAAGGAACAGGCACGAAUAUUUUGCAUAAGUAGAAAGUAGCCAGUUACUGGUUAACCUAAGAAAAUAUUUGAUAAUAUCUCCCACAGUAGAUAUAUUAGACAAAUAUAUUGAUGUUCAACCACUGUUACAAAAAAAAAAAAAAAAAAAAACAACUAUUCACUUAACAGGUUUGUAAUUACUUUACAGGUUUAUUCGAGACAGAGAUAGGUUCCCAUCCAGUUCCCUGCGAUGUUGAAGGAAAGAUAUUGUAUAAAAGGUAAUUGUAAAGACAUACAAAGAGGCAUGAAACCAUGAAACACUUAGAUAACCUUCUCUCACUUGUACUCCAAUUUGGAGACUUGAUUUACAUGUAAGUAUUUACCCUUUUCCCCAGACAAUGCUCACAUUCAGUUCCUCUUUAUUCUUUCAGAUAUACUACCUGCAGGAAGACCUUCAUGGAAGAAGUAUCAGUCCAAAAGGAAAAAUCUUUUCUUUCUUCCUCACCAGCUUCUUUGAGUUAUGAAGGGUUCGCUAAGAAAUAUUUGCUUCUGAUUCAGUUAUCUUUCCUUUUCAGCCCUGGAUAUUUUCCUGCAUCUCAUCUUCAACAGAAAACUGCCUGUCUGAAUGCUGCUUGUUGCUAAUUUACAGUUGUCACUCCUGAGUCUGCCCAGGAUUCCAUACUGCCUGGCUUAUGUAUUGAAACAGCAAGCUUUCGUUUGCAACCAAGGUGUCCUGACAUUCCCACCAAUUGUUUGCUAAACACAGUUGUUGAAUGACUGCAAAACCCAAUUCCAAUGGCCAUAUCUUGUUCUCUGCCAACACUUCUCGCCUCUGGUUCAGGAAAAUUAUGCCAUCUUGGAGAGGAAACAUGUCUUGCAGGUCAUCUUCUGUGCCUUCCAAAAUAUUG